AGCAGCCGCGGUAAUUCCAGCUCCAAUAGCGUAUAUUAAAGUUGUUGCAGUUAAAAAGCUCGUAGUUGAAUUUCGGGAUCAAUAUGUUGGUCGUGCCUUGGUACGUACUGGCAUUAUCGAUUCCUACCUUCUGAAGAACCUCGAUGUCAUUAAUUUGGUGUCUUGGGGAAUCAGGACUGUUACUUUGAAAAAUUAGAGUGUUUAAAGCAGGCUCGCGCUUGAAUACAUUAGCAUGGAAUAAUGAAAUAGGACGUUUGAUUCUAUUUUGUUGGUUUCUAGGAUCGACGUAAUGAUUAAUAGGGAUAGUUGGGGGCAUUAGUAUUCAAUUGUCAGAGGUGAAAUUCUUGGAUUUAUUGAAGACUAACUACUGCGAAAGCAUUUGCCAAGGAUGUUUUCAUUAAUCAAGAACGAAAGUUAGGGGAUCGAAGACGAUCAGAUACCGUCGUAGUCUUAACCAUAAACUAUGCCGACUAGGGAUCGGAUGAUGUUAAUUUUUAAUGACUCAUUCGGCUCCG
rnacentral:rRNA from 1 species